rnacentral:rRNA from 1 species
AUUGAACGCUGGCGGCAGGCCUAACACAUGCAAGUCGAACGAGUGGCGGACGGGUGAGUAAUGUCUGGGAAACUGCCUGAUGGAGGGGGAUAACUACUGGAAACGGUAGCUACUACCGCAUACCAUCAGAUGUGCCCAGAUGGGAUUAGCUUGUUGGUGGGGUAACGGCUCACCAAGGCGACGAUCCCUAGCUGGUCUGAGAGGAUGACCAGCAAAACGGUAACGGAGAGACGGUCCAGACGCCUACGGGAGGCAGGAGUGGGAAAGAUUGCACAAUGGGCGAAAGCCGGAUGCAGCCAUGCCGCGUGUAUGAAGAAGGCCUUCGGGUUGUAAAGUACGUUCAGCGGGGAGGCGUUACCCGCAGAAGAAGCACCGGCUAACUCCGUGCCAGCAGCCGCGGUAAUAC